CACGGGGGGAGCAAGCGUUGUUCGGAAUCACUGGGCGUAAAGGGUGUCUAGGCGGUCAGGUAAGUGAGAUGUGAAAUGCCCCGGCUUACCCGGGGACCGGCAUCUCAUACUGUCUGGCUUGAGUAUGGGAGAGGAUGAGGGAAUUCCUGGUGUAGCGGUGAAAUGCGUAGAUAUCAGGAGGAACACCGGUGGCGAACGCGCUCAUCUGGCCCAAUACUGACGCUGAAGCACGAAAGCUAGGGGAGCAAACAGG
rnacentral:rRNA from 1 species